UACGUAGGGUGCAAGCGUUGUCCGGAAUUAUUGGGCGUAAAGAGCUCGUAGGCGGUCUGUCGCGUCGGAUGUGAAAACCCGGGGCUUAACCCCGGGCCUGCAUUCGAUACGGGCAGACUCGAGUGUGGUAGGGGAGACUGGAACUCCUGGUGUAGCGGUGAAAUGCGCAGAUAUCAGGAAGAACACCGGUGGCGAAGGCGGGUCUCUGGGCCGAAACUGACGCUGAGGAGCGAAAGCGUGGGGAGCGAACAGG
rnacentral:rRNA from 1 species